rnacentral:lncRNA from 1 species
CAUUCCUGGGUGUUCCGACCUGCAGGGUGACCUGCACCAAACACCAAAUACUGCUGAGAAGUACUGGUGUAUUUGAGAUGCCGGAGCAGCCCCAGUCCCUUGGCUCUGUGAAAUAGAGAUUCUUGAGCAGUGCUGUUUGCUGGAGUUACGGCACUGCCUCCCCUGCUUUCUCUUACUGUAUCCCUCCUCUGUGGGCUGAGCUCAUCCCAAAUGCCCCAUGUGAGAUCCCUUCUUUCAAAGGCUACUGAAAAUCAGCAGCCAUUGCCACAGAGAUAGUUAACAUGAGCCCUUCCAUGGAAAGGUCCUUUUGAUAUAUGAUAAAGUGGGGUGAAAUUCUUCAGCAAGGUAUGAGGACCGGUGUGACAGAGUGUGCUGAGCAGGGAUGGAGUGCAGCACCUCUUGCAUUUAAAUGUAUUGUAGAAUCACAGAAUCAUUAAGAUUGGAAAAGAGCUCUAAGUCCAUCUAGUCCCACCAUCAACCCAUCACCACCAUGUGCCAAAUGGAGUCUAAAACAGAGCUCAUCCUAAAAUCCAGUGGAUGUUGUUAUGGAGAAUGCCAGUGCAGAGCCCUGCAGGAUUCUCAUGCACUAACGGCUGCACAUUGUGUUUGCCGUUGCAGUUUGCAUUGCAGCACGGCGCUGGUGGAGAAGUAAGACAGCCACAUUCCAGCACCACUGCAAUGACAAACAAGAGAGGGAGACCCUCUGAACCCCAUGGGAGGAUAAGGAUGGUGGCACUUAGCAGGAGCAGAAUCGCAGCCCCUGGGCAUGCAACCCUUGCCCUGCUUAGCCUGACCCCCACACCUGGAACAGCAGACAGCACAGCAGUCCAACAGGUUUGGGUGAUAACUGACCUGGAAAACACCUCUUGCUUAGGAGCUCCCCAGCGUUAUCCCUGCAGGCAGCUGCCCUCAUCCAGCAUCGCUGCAGAGCAGUGCGAGGGGAAUGGCACGGAGCGCAGCGCUGCCAGCAGCUGUGUGUCCCCAUCCUCAGCUGUAUGCUCCCCAAGGAGCCCUCGUGGCAGCUUGUAAGGUUCAUCGUCAGCCUCACAUCGCAUCGUGCUUUGGCUGAAAGUUGAGCUGACUGUGUGCUGUCUCUGUAGGCUCCUGGUGUGCCUCCCCUCCCCGAGCACACAGCGAUGUCUUACGGACAGGACGCGUGUGCUUUGGCUGUAUGAAAUCGUAACGUUCUUUCUAUAGGAGAAAAUAUUUAAUUUUGCUCUAAAUUCCACUAUAACCAAACUGAUCUUCAUUUAUAUCCUGGAUAAUAAAUCACAGCAACGUGAAGUCUCGUGCACAGAACUGAAGUGGUUUCUUAAAGCAAAUUUGGCAGGAAAUAAGUCAUCAUCUUGCAAAGCUGGUUCACUCUCAUACACAGCGCUCCCUGAGCUCUCUGCUCUGAGCUCCGAGCAGGCACGAAAAGUCAUCAUCUUGAAAAAUGGGGAGAGAUCUCUGAGUCGUAGCAAAGCCCUGUGAGAGACACCACAUGAUGCUGCUAUCAAAACAACACAGAACUUGGUCAGAGAAUCACCCCAUGAGUCCUCCCCGACUCCUGGGCUUGCAGUGCACGGGUACUCAGAUAUCACAAGGGCCAUUAGUUUGGCUCCUUAGAAAAAUAAGGUCGUGCUGCUCUCACAUCUUCCCUCUGUGCUUUCCCUCUUUCUUCUUUCCUCCUCAGCUAAUGUUGGGAUUUUUUUUGUCGGCUUUUUUUUUUUGGCCUUUCUUUCUAGUUUCCAUUUCUAUCGUGCAAACAUGCCGCGGCGAAGCGAUGUAAGCAAUGCAUAAUAUAUUUGCAGUAAUGUAUGAUUCAUUUACCAGCUUUCAUAAUUAAUGCGGAUGUGUUUUACAUACACAGAACUUCCUGCCUGCAUUUUAUGAUGUGAACACUCUUCAAAAUCUAAUAAAAUGUAAGCCAUUAAAAACAAUGGUACUUUUCCUGUUACGAGAUUUGUGUGCAGCUUUGCAGCAGGCGCUCGGUGUGAGCUGGUACUCCAAGCACUGAUUUUUUGCUGCUCCUAAUUCCAUGGGUAGAAACGAUCCGUGUUAUUCCAAUGAUACCACCGUGGCUGUGGGUAUCCUCCUGCUUUCAUACCUUGAAAACUUUCCAACCCAAAUACUUAUUCUAUCCGCUGUCUGGAGGUCAGCAACCCAGAUGAAAUUAUGCUGAAUUUGUGAAAAAGAAACUUGCAAAGGCUGUACAGCAGCAUCUGUAAAAUAUCAGUUGAGUAACGCCAGGGUUUCCACCUCCAAGAAUCCUUGUCCUUGCUUGGGGCACACACAGCUCUGGGCCCCAGCACCUUUUUGCAGUGGUAUUUCUGUGUCUAUUUCCCAUCAGUAUCAAUGCCAGGCAGGGGCUGCUGAAGAGCUCAGGCCAUGCACUUUAUCUACACAUUAUUCUCUUCCUCGGGCAAAACUGGAAACCCAAAACUAUUCCGCACCUCAUAUUGAAGCUGAGUUACCCACCGAGCUUUGUUCCUUUAUGCAGAUAGGUUUGGGAGCUCUUCGUUUCCUAUGGUCACACUAUGCAUGCGUGGAAAAUUAAUGCCAACGACAAAACCUCUGCAAGGACGUCAGCACCCACCUGGGGAGCACUGUAGUGAGGCUGUGGAUGUCAGCAGGAAGCCACCGCUUCGUUUGCACCUUUCGUUUUCGACGUUUCAGGGCGAGCUGCAAUACCACAGCCCGCGCGUUAAACGGGAAAUGAAACAGAAAUGGAAAUGAACGCCCGCAUCUGUCCCGUUUUUAAGGUAAAGGCAGAAAUCACCUCGUGUCUCCCAGUCCGGCCACGUUCACCCAAGGAAGGUGGGGAGAAGUCAAUGUCCAGGGAAAAUGUGCAACCAUCAUCUGCAAACGAAGAGUGGGAAAUCCUACGGGAUACGGUGAUGGAGCAAAAGGGGGGGAUGGAAAACAUCUGUACGUCGGUUGAGCAUCGGGAGCCUUUGUGCCCGAGUCGUUUUGGAAGGCGGAGGGGCAUCGGGACUUCCCGUCCCUCCCUGUGCCCUUCCUGUGUUGCGCAGCGGUCACAGAGAAGGACGCACCGGGGAGCGCUGGGCACAGCCGUGUCCCCGAAAUUUGCACCUGCAAAGAGGGAGCGAGCCAGGCGAGGGGAAUGUGCGACGGGAUGGAGAAAUAUCGAAUGUUUCUGGCCGUGUGCGUUGCCAGAGGUUUGCACAUUUUGUCUGAAAACACCCAGAGUUAGAGGCGGAGGGAAGGGAGGGGGGAUUUUAAUAAAAACCAUUUGCCACUUGUCUUCAAUUAGAGUCCAGACAUCGAGCAAUAAGGAAAAAACCUUUUCUAAAAUAUAUAUAUAUAUUAUUAUUAUUAUUAUCUCGCUAGCAGUCGGGCUGAAGAGGUAAAGGCGGUUCGCACGCAACGAUUUCAGGGCAAGGAGUUAAAACGAGCGAGCGAAUUCAGGCGUCGUUGUCGCCGUUCGUGCCGGCUCCUCCUGCCCCGGCAGCUCCCCGCCUCGCCCCGGCACACGCCGCGGAGCUUCGCACCGCUUCCCCGCACGGGAAGGGCUCCUCCGCCCGCGGACGGAC